UACGGAGGGUCCGAGCGUUAUCCGGAAUCAUUGGGUUUAAAGGGUCCGCAGGCGGUCGAUUAAGUCAGAGGUGAAAUCCCAUAGCUCAACUAUGGAACUGCCUUUGAUACUGGUUGACUUGAGUCAUAUGGAAGUAGAUAGAAUGUGUAGUGUAGCGGUGAAAUGCAUAGAUAUUACACAGAAUACCGAUUGCGAAGGCAGUCUACUACGUAUGUACUGACGCUGAGGGACGAAAGCGUGGGGAGCGAACAGG
rnacentral:rRNA from 1 species